rnacentral:lncRNA from 1 species
UUUUAAUAUAUAACCAGCAAUUGAACCCAGGGGCAAGGGAGCUCAACCAAUGAACUGCAUGCCCAGCCCUUUUUAUUUAUUAUCUUUUUAUUUUUUAAUUUUGAGACAGGGUCUCACUAAGUUGUUGAGGCUGGCUUCGAACUUGUAAUCCCCCUGCCUCAACCUUCCAAGCUGUUGGGAGUACAUGCAUACACCACUGCACCCAGCAAAUCUAUUGAAAUUUGAGGCUCAUGACUUUUUGGCAAUACUUUAGGGUUGUAGAAAGAAGGCCAAAGUCCAAUUUUCUUCUUCAAUCAACUAACAGUGAUUGAUAAUACACCAAGUGCUAACCAUGGGCAUGACAAUUACAACAGCUGCCCUUGGAAGAUUAUAAUCCAGGGAGGAGCAGCUCUGGAGCCUGACAAAUGUAGAUGAAACAAACAAACAUAAGUCUUCAUGACUGGUGAACUGGGCUUUAACAUAACCAAGAUCAAUUGAAACCAGGUUUUUUAAAAAUAUGCCUUUAGAUAAAUUGCAUUUCAUUUCCCUAGCCAAAGUAUACCAUUAAAUUCAAACACAACAAUCUGUUAGAUCUUCUUUUUUUAUUUCUCCAUAUUAAUUGUUUAGAAUGCCAGCUGUCUCUGUUCAUUUUGUAUUUUAAUGUAGACUUGACAGUGCUGUUUUCUCCUCCCUAAGCUGAACCAUAAAGAGAGGAUCUGGUUUGUGACAAUAUAUCCUUGGGGAUUUACUGUAAACUAACUAUCGGGUAGUCUUCAUGAAAACAAAGUUUUAAAUCAGUUUUACAGAUCAAGGAAUCUUCUCAGUUUAAAUAGAAUCUGUUAAGCUUGAUAUAUAUCUAGAUAAUCAUCAAAUACACUCAAGAGAAAUAUGAAUGCAAAAUAACCAAAAUAACCAAUUUACCCAUGUGAGGAUGUGGGUAAAUAAUUUCCUUUUACUGGUGACAUUUAGGUAUUAAAGUAGCAUUAGCCAGAUGACAAGUAUAUGAAAUUUCUGUAGCACAAGAAGAGAAAACACAAGCUUUAAUUAACACGAUUGGUCUUGGUUUUGUACAGAUCCUAGGAGCCACUCACAUUUCAGAAGCCAUUUUUCCAAAACAGUAUCUUUAUGUAUUUUAAGCCUUGCUCUCCUUUUUUAAAAAGGUGAUAGGAAACCUUCUUGUAGCUACAAGCAUCCUAAUGGAUGCAAGGAUAUUAGAAGGGUUCUCAGAAUGACUACCUGGGAAGAUCCCUAGGUUGAUGGCAAAAAAAUUUUGUAUCCUGGUAACCUUGGCUCAAAAAUAAAAAUUAAAAUGGUAGGGAAAGUUUUCAAGGCAUGUAGACGUGUUUUUCUCAUGUUUCCCAGCUUGGGAAAUGGUCCCAGAUUUCACAAUGCAAUUGUCAUAUACCAUCAACCACUAGAAUUAAUAUAUCAGGGUUUUCUAAUCAUAUUUCUGAACACCAUGUUUGUGGGACACAUUAGAAGUAAGAUCAUAUAAUAAUUAACUUAGAAACUCAUUUCCCUUGAAAAAGGUUCAUGGAAGAUCUACAUUUUAUUGAAUUUUUCUCUACAGCAAGAGUUCUUCCAGUGAAGUUUCAGUGUGUGGAUUUGUGGUUUGGAGCUAGUUACUUGAUUUUUAAAAGUUCUUUAUUUGUUUAUUGGUACUGUGUUGUUUCUAAAGGGUGUGAGGCUGCUAUUAAAAUACACAAAAGUGAGCAACUCAAUAAAUAUAGAAACAGAAGGCUAUGGCAAAGUAUUGAAAUAACAAGACUUGAAUGUCACAGAUCGUAGAUACUCUUUAAACCUGGAUUUCACUAAGUAUGUGCCUGGUGUAUAGUAGGUAUUCAAUAAAUGUCUGAUGGAUGGAUGGAUGAGCAAACUGAAGGAAAACAAAAUUUUAUUCAGCAAUUAUUCAUAGAGUCCCUAUGACAUGGCAUAUGUUGAUACAAUAAUCAGUAAGAUAGAAAUCCAGACCUUAAGAAAUAGGGGACUGGGAUAUACAAGUAAAGAACCACAGUGAAUGUGACCAGAUGAGAUGAAGAUGAGAAUAUGCUGUGGGGGUUCGAAUAUGGAAAAGAACUCCUUCCAUUGGAAAGAUCAUAAAGAAGGCAGCCCUGUGUUGAGCCUGUGGAGUGAGCAGAAUCUUGCCAGGUAGAAAUGGGAGGAAGGCCUGCCAAGCAGGGGGUGAGUAAAACAUAGACUGUGGCUGAUGGCUGUCCUCUGAC